AGGCCUUGUUCGAUUUCAUAGGAUUUCAAGGGGUUUGAAGGGGAUUGAAAGGAUUAAAUCCUCAGCAAAUCAAAAUCCACCUCAAACCCUUUCAAUCCCCUCCAAUCCCCUUGUGGUGGAGAUUAACCGAACAAGCCCCUAGGGGGCUGCGCCACUCAGGGCACCCGGUUGGCUCGCCGACAGGUGGGGGCUACAUGUCGGGUUUGUCUCCUUCCUCUCGCGUGCUGCGACAGAACGAGGGGCGAGCUCCAGCAGCGAUUGCCGGUGCUACGAGGCACCUCUCCCGGAGCUGCACAUACGGGCGUGCUCACGAGGGAUGGCCCCAUCCUCUAGAGGACAAAAGUAUCACCGGAGGGCUCGGAGGCAAGCGCCUCCUCAUCCAUGGUGGACGGUGGCUUGGGCACACUAGCAAUCCUACCACGACCUGCUAUGGAUGGAUUUGGUCAUGGGAAUGGAUCGUAGGGAGCAUGGGGAGGCUAGCCAUGGCCAAGGGAAUACCACAAAGGCUCGGGGCUGCCGGAAUUUAGCCGGAGAUGGGCGGCGGCGCUGCGGUCAGAGGGGAGCAGAGCGAGCGGCUCCGGCCAAAUUGAAGCGACGGGGAGGCACAUGCGGGUCG
rnacentral:lncRNA from 1 species